rnacentral:rRNA from 1 species
UCGGGGUGACUGCGUACCUUUUGUAUAAUGGGUCAGCGACUUACAUUUUGUAGCGAGGUUAACCGUAUAGGGGAGCCGUAGGGAAACCGAGUCUUAACUGGGCGUCUAGUUGCAAGGUGUAGACCCGAAACCGGGUGAUCUAGCCAUGGGCAGGUUGAAGGUUGAGUAACAUCAACUGGAGGACCGAACCCACUAACGUUGCAAAGUUAGGGGAUGACCUGUGGCUGGGGGUGAAAGGCCAAUCAAACUCGGAGAUAGCUGGUUCUCCCCGAAAGCUAUUUAGGUAGCGCCUCGGACGAAUACUACUGGGGGUAGAGCACUGUUUGGGCUAGGGGGUCAUCCCGACUUACCAACCCCAUGCAAACUCCGAAUACCAGUAAGUAAUAUCCGGGAGACACACGGCGGGUGCUAACGUCCGUCGUGAAGAGGGAAACAACCCAGACCGCCGGCUAAGGUCCCAAAGUUCUGGUUAAGUGGGAAACGAUGUGGGAAGGCUCAGACAGCUAGGAUGUUGGCUUAGAAGCAGCCAUCAUUUAAAGAAAGCGUAAUAGCUCACUAGUCGAGUCGGCCUGCGCGGAAGAUGUAACGGGGCUCAAACCAGGCACCGAAGCCGCGGAUUCACGCUAAGCGUGAGUGGUAGGGGAGCGU